rnacentral:rRNA from 1 species
AUUGAACGCUGGCGGCAGGCCUAACACAUGCAAGUCGAGCGGAUGAAGGGAGCUUGCUCCUGGAUUCAGCGGCGGACGGGUGAGUAAUGCCUAGGAAUCUGCCUGGUAGUGGGGGAUAACGUCCGGAAACGGGCGCUAAUACCGCAUACGUCCUGAGGGAGAAAGUGGGGGAUCUUCGGACCUCACGCUAUCAGAUGAGCCUAGGUCGGAUUAGCUAGUUGGUGGGGUAAAGGCCUACCAAGGCGACGAUCCGUAACUGGUCUGAGAGGAUGAUCAGUCACACUGGAACUGAGACACGGUCCAGACUCCCACGGGAGGCAGCAGUGGGAAAUAUUGGACAAUGGGCGAAAGCCUGAUCCAGCCAUGCCGCGUGUGUGAAGAAGGUCUUCGGAUUGUAAAGCACUUUAAGUUGGGAGGAAGGGCAGUAAGUUAAUACCUUGCUGUUUUGACGUUACCAACAGAAUAAGCACCGGCUAACUUCGUG